GGGCCCGCACAAGCAGCGGAGCAUGUUGUUUAAUUCGACGCAACGCGAAGAACCUUACCAGGUCUUGACAUCCACGGAAUUUUGUGGAAACACGAAAGUGCCCUUCGGGGAGCCGUGAGACAGGUGGUGCAUGGUUGUCGUCAGCUCGUGUCGUGAGAUGUUGGGUUAAGUCCCGCAACGAGCGCAACCCUUGUGAAUAGUUACUAACGGGUAAAGCCGAGGACUCUAUUGAGACUGCCGGGGACAACUCGGAGGAAGGUGGGGACGACGUCAAAUCAUCAUGCCCCUUAUGAUCUGGGCUACAAACGUGCUACAAUGGCCGUUACAAAGGGAAGCGACACUGUAAGGUGAAGCGGAUCCCAAAAAAGCGGUCUCAGUUCGGAUCGUGGGCUGCAACCCGCCCACGUGAAGUUGGAGUUGCUAGUAAUCGCGAAUCAGCAUGUCGCGGUGAAUACGUUCCCGGGCCUU
rnacentral:rRNA from 1 species